CCUACGGGUGGCAGCAGUGGGGAAUAUUGCACAAUGGGCGAAAGCCUGAUGCAGCAACGCCGCGUGAAGGAAGAAGGGUUUCGGCUCGUAAACUUCUAUCAACAGGGACGCAAUAAAUUACGUUACCUGAAUUAGCAGCCCCGGCUAACUACGUGCCAGCAGCCGCGGGAAUACGUAGGGGGCAAGCGUUAUCCGGAAUUACUGGGUGGAAAGGGUGAGUAGGCGGCAAGGUAAGCCAGAUGUGAAAGCCUUGGGCUUAACCAGAGGAGUGCAUUUGGAACUAUCAAGCUAGAGUACAGGAGAGGAAUGCGGAAUUCCUAGUGUAGCGGUGAAAUGCGUAGAUAUUAGGAAGAACACCGAUGGCGAAGGCGGCUUUCUGGACUGAAACUGACGCUGAGGCACGAAAGCGUGGGGAGCGAACAGGAUUAGAUACCCGAGUAGUC
rnacentral:rRNA from 1 species